rnacentral:rRNA from 1 species
CCUACGGGAGGCUGCAGUGAGGAAUAUUGGUCAAUGGACGAAAGUCUGAACCAGCCAAGUAGCGUGAAGGAUGACUGCCCUAUGGGUUGUAAACUUCUUUUAUAAAGGAAUAAAACGAGGCACGUGUGCCUGUUUGCAUGUACUUUAUGAAUAAGGAUCGGCUAACUCCGUGCCAGCAGCCGCGGUAAUACGGAGGAUCCGAGCGUUAUCCGGAUUUAUUGGGUUUAAAGGGAGCGUAGAUGGGUUGUUAAGUCAGUUGUGAAAGUUUGCGGCUCAACCGUAAAAUUGCAAUUGAUACUGGCAGUCUUGAGUACAGUUGAGGUAGGCGGAAUGCGUGGUGUAGCGGUGAAAUGCUUAGAUAUCACGAAGAACCCCGAUUGCGAAGGCAGCUUACUAAACUGUGACUGACAUUGAGGCUCGAAAGUGUGGGUAUCAAACAGGAUUAGAUACCCCUGUAGUC